rnacentral:rRNA from 1 species
ACGUAGGGAGCAAGCGUUAUCCGGAUUUAUUGGGUGUAAAGGGUGCGUAGACGGAAAUGCAAGUUAGUUGUGAAAUACCUCGGCUUAACUGAGGAACUGCAACUAAAACUAUGUUUCUUGAGUACUGGAGGGGAAAGCGGAAUUCCUAGUGUAGCGGUGAAAUGCGUAGAUAUUAGGAAGAACACCGGUGGCGAAGGCGGCUUUCUGGACAGUAACUGACGUUGAGGCACGAAAGUGUGGGGAGCAAACAG